ACUCUGCGAAAGAGUUAAGAUGCACUUAGUAGGGUUCAAAUUGGUGUCGAAGAAAUAGGAGGAAAAUAAUCCGGGGAAUGAGACAAGGGAACGAAAUCAAGUCAAGAGUGGGAGGAUUUGGAGAAGGUCGCUGUUGUGACAGAUGGGAGUCACGUAAGCAUUCAGGUGAGAGCGGUACGGAGAAUGGGGAAAGAAGGGAUGGUGCAAAUGGAGAACAGGAUGGGGUGUGUUGGGAGAAAGUGGACUGGAACUAGAGGAAGAUGUCGAAUGAUAUCGGCAAUUACUUCGAAUGAACAAGAAAUGGGAGUAGGGAGGCUGGAGGGUACAUGAGAAAGAGGUGCAUUCUCUUGCGGCCAUGUUUAGAAAGAUUUGCAUGUCCUCAAGAGUUUGUGAGGGGCGUUAGGAGGAGAGGUCUGAGAAGCAAAGAUAUUCUUAAGAGAAGAAGAAAAGACACAUGUCCGAGAAGCAGAGGAAAAGGUAGGAGAGGAUGAGGUAAGAUAUGGUGGAACAUUAAGUGCGAAAGACACCGGGGAAGUGGUAGAGAUUGAGAGUAUCUGGAUUUAGACAGGAAAAAUAAUUUGACUGCAUGAGAGAGGGAUUAGAGAUAGGAUGGUAAGGGGUAGGUGAACUGAUACCGGGGGAGAUGCUGAGACAUCUUGGGAAGAAGGGAGAGGAGCAGAGUGAAGGACAUUGUUGGAAUAGGUAGUGAGAGGAAAAUCUUAAAUCUGAGAACUGCUACUUAAGUCUCAAGCUUGAAGGCAGGGCAACUCCUAUAAAAUACAUUUGGGAGCCACCAAUUGGCACAUGUGCGUGAUUGUGCAUAGCAAUUUGAACAGUCAUGAUCAGUUGGGUGCAGUAGGGGUUAAUAGGCUGUGAAGCGACAUUGCUUAGCAGGGUGGCCAAAAAGCCAACAUCUGACAUUUACGGUGAAGGGGUUGAUGUGGUCGGACAGGGCAGGACACUCCACCUGUAUAAACCUCAUAGGGAAGGUCAUGUUUACGGAAUCUAAUAUUGGCAAUAUUGGUGGCCUCUGGGAAGUAGUGUAGUAGUGUACCGCUACUUCAUCAUAAUCAGUGAAACCUUGUUUUCACAGCCUGACCAGUCCUUAUCGUAGGCAGGGCAAUCAGCUUUGGAAGAGGAAGUGGUGUGGUAGUACUGUGGGGAGGGCGACAAUAAGGUUGAGCAGUAGUAAUCCGGGAAGAAGGGGGAGGGCAGACAAUGAAGACGACUAAGUGAAGAUGGAGUGGAGGAUGCUGAAAGAGAGGAAGGGGUGUAUUCUAAAGGUUAAUGACCUGGACCUGGUUGGUUCGGAAUGGAUAGAGUUGACAGCGUGCAUCGGGGAGAAGCUAGUAGCAGUAGAGGUCAAAGCCAUGAUCAAAGGUGGGGCAGGGGUAGGGAAACUAGAAGUCUAGUUAGACAGGCUAGUUAAUGAAGGGUUAUACUUUUAAUAGGAGUACAAUAUCUUCAUUAAUGGCUAUGGUAAACCUGAAAUAUGUUCCUCCGUAAGGAGUAAGGGCAAGGCGAUUAACCGAGGGUUAGAAGGGAGAAGAGAAGGAAAGGGAAAGAGAGAAAAAAAGACCAUGCAAAAUUAGUUGAGCCGAGGGCUUGAGGCCCAAGGAAGGGGGGUCAUUAGGUCUUUCCACUCCAAUCGCACUUUCCGUGUUACAUUUACCUCUUCAACAAUUCAGAGGCUUCCCUUCUUCCUGUAAACAACUUAGCUGCAGUAGUACCACCAGGUAUCCGGUCUUCCCUGUAUGUGGGUCUCAACUUCGCCUCUGGCCUUCCAUACCUAUUCUCCGCCAGUUUAUACAGUCGACAAUAUCAUUAAUUUCUUCAUGGGCCACUGACCAUAGCUUUCGCUUUCCUACCACCAAAACAUUUUUACUUUUUUGUCUAUCUCCUCCUUGGCUUAUACUUUCCCUCUGUACUUGCUCCUGACCCACCCAAAUCAGCCCCCCCCCUCAUCUGCCCUUUUCACUCCUUUCCCUGACAUGUCUCCACUCAUUCUUACAGCAACUAUGUUUACACUGAUGACUCUAAAUCCAUCUCCGGUGCUGGUCUUGCUGUAGUCUUCCUUUUUCAUACUUUCAACUAUCCCUCCCUCUCUGUCUUGUGUCCUUACGAUGGAGUUGCAUGGUAAAUUGUUCAUGGUUAGAAGAGAUAAAUGAGACAGUUGUAUGCACUCCUUUUUGCCAACAAUCGCCUUGAUCACAGCGUCAAGAAGACUAACUAGUAUGCUGCAGCCUCACCUCGCAUGAGGAAAUGGACACCUAUGGCCAGGCAGGAGAUCCUUGCAUAAUUUGGAACCAGGGUCAUAAUGGGGCUAGUGUCAUGCCCCGAUCAUCGCAAUUACUGGCCAGCCAAUCACGCGCUGCGACAUGAUCUCAUUGUUAAGGUCAUGUUAAAGGAUAGGUUUGGGCUACUAGUUUUCAAGACCUUCAACCCGAACAGGAGAAUGCGGUUCAGGUUAAAGGUCUACAAGCUCUGCGCCAGUAACGGCCCGACGGCUGUUGCAAGGUGUACGCCGUGCAGGACCGUGAUGACACUCAUCCACGCGAGCGGUGCUGUAGUUGCAGGCUUCCUUGGGCUAGGAUACCAGUUUGUGGAUAAUUGUACACUUCGCAAAGUCUUGUCAUCUUUUGCAGGCCCAUGGGACGAAUGCGGUAGAAACAGCCAGACAAAGAGGAAGUUCGUACCUAAGGACCUCAAUAUGAGGAGUGAGUGUGAUGUUGACUAUCAAAACAGCAAGAUACUGGCCUUGCAGUGAAAAGACCACAACACCGUCACCAGGCUGUCGACCGUCCACGCCGCUGCAGUGGAUGUUGGAGAAGCCGUCAGUGGUAUCCGAUUGCAAUGUCGCCAUGAAAGAUGACAACAUUGAUCAGAUGGCGAGCUACAACCCGACGGCUCGCCGGUCAAAGGUUUAGUAAAAGAUCAUCUUCCUCUUCGACAUGGCAGUCAUCAACACCGGGGCCGUCCAUCAUACCCAGGAUAAUGAGGAUUCCUAAGAAAUUGAUUGAGCCUUUCCUAUGGGUUUUUGAGUGGAUAUUAGAGCCGGAGCCGACCCAAUCAGAACAGCGAGACCACCUCUUGCUUGAGAGGUAGCGAAGACACACCAUCAGAGAAAUCCCAGACGGCAGGUGUAGGUGCCGUUGAUGUUUAAAGCAGGGUUGCAGGAAGAACACAAAAAAUGUAUAUGUAAAAAAGAAAUUACAAGCAUUGAGUAAGAAGUCUUCAGCCUCAUCAUUAUUCAUGCGCGAUGAUUCCAGGAAUGUUUGAUUCAUAAUAGUAUCCAGAAAAUCUGCUUCAAAUAGUUUGAUGGCUUACGUUCUUUGACCGAGAACCUGUCAUUAUCUGCGAGGCUUAGUGGCCUAAUACUACUGUAGUAGGAUGUUCCUGGGGGUACCCUUCGGUGGCUGGAUGCAAUGCAUGAUGUCAGCAGGUAUACACCCCAGCAAAACAUCCUCUAUUUAAAAUAUUUUUGUUUCAGUUGCUGUGACUUUGAGAUGUGUGUAUGUAUCACCCUGUUCAUGAAUACCGUUAUCAGUAUUUAAAAAAUAAAUCUAUUAGCGAUUGUAUUGGUUGUCAAUCUAUUUUCUGUUCGUCAAAAUGUGGCAGUCAUCUCCCCGCUUCGUGCACUCCUUACUCACAGCACGUUCUAGUCCACUCAUGUUCCUCUGCCCCAGUGUUGCCAUAUCCACGCUUUAUUACAGCACUUAUUUUGCUUUUUAAACAUGAAUUAUUGCUAUUGUCGUAGAUAAAUAUUUAUGUCGAGCUUCUGUUCAAUUAAGGCAAAAGUAAUAAAAAAAAUCGAAAU